GAUGAAGAACGCAGCGAAAUGCGAUAAGUAAUGUGAAUUGCAGAAUUCAGUGAAUCAUCGAAUCUUUGAACGCACAUUGCGCCCCCUGGUAUUCCGGGGGGCAUGCCUGUUCGAGCGUCAUUUCACCACUCAAGCCUCGCUUGGUAUUGGGCAACGCGGUCCGCCGCGUGCCUCAAAUCGAUCGGCUGGGUCUUCUGUCCCCUAAGCGUUGUGGAAACUAUUCGCUAAAGGGUGUUCGGGAGGCUACGCCGUAAAACAACCCCAUUUCUAAGGUUGACCUCGGAUCAGGUAGGGAUACCCGCUGAACUUAAGCAUAUCAAUAAGCGGAGGA
rnacentral:misc_RNA from 1 species